AUUGAACGCUGGCGGCAGGCUUAACUCAUGCAAGUCGAGCGGGGUGAUGGUGCUUGCACUAUCACUUAGCGGCGGACGGGAGAGUAAUGCUUAGGAAUCUGCCUAUUAGUGGGGGACAACAUCUCGAAAGGGAUGCUAAUACCGCAUACGUCCUACGGGCGAAAUCAGGGGAUUCCUUGUGACCUUGCGUUAAUAGAUGAGCCUAAGUCGGAUUAGGUAGUUGGUGGGGUAAAGGCCUACCAAGGCGACGAUCUGUAGCGGGUCUGAGCGGAUGAUCCGCCACACUGGGACUGAGACACGGCCCAGUCUCCUACGGGAGGCAGCAGUGGGGAAUAUUGGACAAUGGGGGGAACCCUGAUCCAGCCAUGCCGCGUGUGUGAAGAAGGCCUUAUGGUUGUAAAGCACUUUAAGCGAGGAGGAGGCUCUUUUGGUUAAUACCCAAGAUGAGUGGACGUUACUCGCAGAAUAAGCACCGGCUAACUCUGUGCCAGCCGCCGCAGUAA
rnacentral:rRNA from 1 species